UGGGGAAUAUUGGGCAAUGGGGGAAACCCUGACCCAGCAACGCCGCGUGAGGGAGGAAGGCCUUCGGGUUGUAAACCUCUGUCCUUGGGGACGAAGUAAGUGACGGUACCCAAGGAGGAAGCUCCGGCUAACUACGUGCCAGCAGCCGCGGUAAUACGUAGGGAGCAAGCGUUGUCCGGAAUUACUGGGCGUAAAGGGUGCGUAGGUGGUCUUUUAAGUCAAAUGUGAAAUACCCGGGCUUAACCUGGGGGCUGCAUAUGAUACUGGGAGACUUGAGUGCAGGAGAGGAAAGCGGAAUUCCUAGUGUAGCGGUGAAAUGCGUAGAUAUUAGGAGGAACACCAGUGGCGAAGGCGGCUUUCUGGACUGCAACUGACACUGAGGCACGAAAGCGUGGGGAGCAAACAGG
rnacentral:rRNA from 1 species